GUGCCAGCAGCCGCGGUAACACGUAGGGACCAAGCGUUGUCCGGAUUUAUUGGGCGUAAAGAGCUCGUAGGCGGUUCAGUCAGUCGGGUGUGAAAACUUCGGGCUUAACUCGAAGCAUGCAUCCGAUACUGCUGUGACUUGAGUCCGGUAGGGGAGUGGGGAAUUCCUGGUGUAGCGGUGAAAUGCGCAGAUAUCAGGAGGAACACCGGUGGCGAAGGCGCCACUCUGGGCCGGUACUGACGCUGAGGAGCGAAAGCGUGGGUAGCAAACAGGAUUAGAUACCCUGGUAGUCCACGCUGUAAACGUUGGGCACUAGGUGUGGGCUCUAACCAACGGAGUCCGUGCCGCAGCUAACGCAUUAAGUGCCCCGCCUGGGGAGUACGGCCGCAAGGUUAAA
rnacentral:rRNA from 1 species